rnacentral:rRNA from 1 species
UGAUCCUGGCUCAGGACGAACGCUGGCGGCGUGCUUAACACAUGCAAGUCGAACGUGAUUUUUGUGGAAAUUCUUUCGGGAAUGGAAAUGAAAUGAAAGUGGCGAACGGGUGAGUAACACGUGAGCAACCUACCUUACACAGGGGGAUAGCCGUUGGAAACGACGAUUAAUACCGCAUGAGACCACAGAAUCGCAUGAUAUAGGGGUCAAAGAUUUAUCGGUGUAAGAAGGGCUCGCGUCUGAUUAGCUAGUUGGAAGGGUAAAGGCCUACCAAGGCGACGAUCAGUAGCCGGUCUGAGAGGAUGAACGGCCACAUUGGAACUGAGACACGGUCCAAACUCCUACGGGAGGCAGCAGUGGGGAAUAUUGCACAAUGGGGGGAACCCUGAUGCAGCGACGCCGCGUGAGCGAAGAAGGUUUUCGAAUCGUAAAGCUCUGUCCUAUGAGAAGAUAAUGACGGUAUCAUAGGAGGAAGCCCCGGCUAAAUACGUGCCAGCAGCCGCGGUAAUACGUAUGGGGCGAGCGUUGUCCGGAAUUAUUGGGCGUAAAGGGUACGUAGGCGGUUUUUUAAGUCAGGUGUGAAAGCGUGAGGCUUAACCUCAUUAAGCACUUGAAACUGGAAGACUUGAGUGAAGGAGAGGAAAGUGGAAUUCCUAGUGUAGCGGUGAAAUGCGUAGAUAUUAGGAGGAAUACCGGUGGCGAAGGCGACUUUCUGGACUUUUACUGACGCUCAGGUACGAAAGCGUGGGGAGCAAACAGGAUUAGAUACCCUGGUAGUCCACGCCGUAAACG